GGAAGGGGCGGCCGGGGGUGGGGGGCAGUUGCUGAUUAGAGUGGGCAGCCAAGCCUCACCCAAGGGAGGCUGCUUCAGCAAAGAUGGAAGGAGGACUUAGGCUGCCCAGGAGCACACGGGGUGCUGAAUGGCGCACAGAGAGCAGAGAAGGGCGGUGUCAGGAGGCCACCCGCCAUCCCAGCGCCCGGUGGCUGUGCUCGGGCCCGGAAGGAGAGCUCAGCUUCUGCAUGUGUUGGGAAGGAACAGCCACCGCGUGAAUGUGAGGAGCGGGGGAGAGGAGUUGGGAAUGCCCCCCACUGCUGUGACCUGAGCCCAGUAGGCUUCAUGCCCACUGUGGAGCCCAACAUGGG